rnacentral:rRNA from 1 species
GGGGGGGGGGGGGGUAAGGGGGGGCAGCUAAGUGCGGUCGAGCGCAGGAAACCAGUUGACCCCUUCGGGGUGAUUCUGGUGGAAUGAGCGGCGGACGGGUGAGUAACACGUGGGCAACCUGCCUGUAAGACUGGGAUAACUUCGGGAAACCGGAGCUAAUACCGGAUAGUAUUUCCUUUCUCCUGAUUGGAAAUGGAAAGACGGUUUCGGCUGUCACUUACAGAUGGGCCCGCGGUGCAUUAGCUAGUUGGCGGGGUAAUGGCCCACCAAGGCGACGAUGCAUAGCCGACCUGAGAGGGUGAUCGGCCACACUGGGACUGAGACACGGCCCAGACUCCUACGGGAGGCAGCAGUAGGGAAUCUUCCGCAAUGGACGAAAGUCUGACGGAGCAACGCCGCGUGAGCGAUGAAGGCCUUCGGGUCGUAAAGCUCUGUUGUUAGGGAAGAACAAGUACGAGAGUAACUGCUCGUACCUUGACGGUACCUAACCAGAAAGCCCCGGCUAACUACGUGCCAGCAGCCGCGGUAAUACGUAGGGGGCAAGCGUUGUCCGGAAUUAUUGGGCGUAAAGGGCUCGUAGGCGGUUUCUUAAGUCUGAUGUGAAAGCCCACAGCUCAACUGUGGAGGGUCAUUGGAAACUGGGGAACUUGAGUGCAGAAGAGGAGAGUGGAAUUCCACGUGUAGCGGUGAAAUGCGUAGAUAUGUGGAGGAACACCAGUGGCGAAGGCGACUCUCUGGUCUGUAACUGACGCUGAGGAGCGAAAGCGUGGGGGAGCAAACAGGAUUAGAUACCCUGGUAGUCCACGCCGUAAACGAUGAGUGCUAGGUGUUAGGGGGUUUCCGCCCCUUAGUGCUGAAGUUAACGCAUUAAGCACUCCGCCUGGGGGAGUACGGCCGCAAGGCUGAAACUCAAAAGAAUUGACGGGGGCCCGCACAAGCGGUGGAGCAUGUGGGUUUAAUUCGAAGCAACGCGAAGAACCCUUACCAGGUCUUGGACAUCCCGCUGACAACUCUGGAGACAGAGCGUUUCCCUUCGGGGGACAGCGUGACAGGUGGCUGCAUGGGCUUGUCGUCAGCUUCGUGGUCGUUGAAGAAUGAUUGCGUUUAGGUUCCCUCCGCGAACCGAAGGCGUCCAAGCUCU